rnacentral:rRNA from 1 species
UACGCAGGGACCAAGCGUUGUUCGGAUUUACUGGGCGUAAAGGGCGCGUAGGCGGCAAUUCAAGUCAGCUGUGAAAUCUCCGGGCUUAACUCGGAACGGUCAGCUGAUACUGCUUUGCUAGAGUGCAGAAGGGGCAAUCGGAAUUCUUGGUGUAGCGGUGAAAUGCGUAGAUAUCAAGAGGAACACCUGAGGUGAAGACGGGUUGCUGGGCUGACACUGACGCUGAGGCGCGAAAGCUAGGGUAGCAAACGGG